UUCUCGGUCUCUCGCAACGGUGUCCGGUUUACUCGGUCAGGUUCGGAAGAAAGCAGCCAAAGUCGGAAUUUCUGUGUGCCGAGAAUAAGCUGGGAAGAUU
rnacentral:SRP_RNA from 1 species